AGGGAGCGUAGGCGGAUUUUAAGUGAGAUGUGAAAUACUCGGGCUUAACCUGAGUGCUGCAUUUCAAACUGGAAGUCUAGAGUGCAGGAGAGGAGAAGGGAAUUCCUAGUGUAGCGGUGAAAUGCGUAGAUAUUAGGAGGAACACCAGUGGCGAAGGCGGCUUACUGGACGAUCACUGACGCUGAGGCUCGAAGGCGUGGGGAGCGAACAGGAUUAGAUACCCUGGUAGUCCAUGCCGUAAACGAUGAGUGCUAAGUGUUGGGAGGUUUCCGCCUCUCAGUGCUGCAGCUAACGCAUUAAGCACUCCGCCUGGGGAGUACGACCGCAAGGUUGAAACUCAAAGGAAUUGACGGGGGCCCGCACAAGCGGUGGAGCAUGUGGUUUAAUUCGAAGCAACGCGAAGAACCUUACCAGGUCUUGACAUCUAGUGCAAUCUGUAGAGAUACGGAGUUCCCUUCGGGGACGCUAAGACAGGUGGUGCAUGGCUGUCGUCAGCUCGUGUCGUGAGAUGUUGGGUUAAGUCCCGCAACGAGCGCAACCCUUGUUAUUAGUUGCCAGCAUUAAGUUGGGCACUCUAAUGAGACUGCCGGUGACAAACCGGAGGAAGGUGGGGAUGACGUCAAGUCAUCAUGCCCCUUAUGACCUGGGCUACACACGUGCUACAAUGGGCAGUACAACGAGAAGCAAGCCUGCGAAGGCAAGCGAAUCUCUGAAAGCUGUUCUCAGUUCGGACUGCAGUCUGCAACUCGACUGCACGAAGCUGGAAUCGCUAGUAAU
rnacentral:rRNA from 1 species